AUGUCAGUGCAUAGCAGCUGCCUGGGUUCUACCCCAGCAUCUCCCACCUCCAUAAAAGGGGAGGGAAGGAAGUGAGAGUCUUCCAAGCCCGUGUGGGACUGGGCCAUUUAGUUCACACAACUCCUAAAGAGCGGGUUGGCAGCAGGGAGCCCAGCGUUUGAGUCAGAGCUCAGUUAAGAGUCCUGCCAGGAAAGCUAAGCUGUAGUUGCUGCUGUUCUGAUUGGCACUGCUGUAGAAGGUUCUGGUCAUAGACCAGUGAUCAGCAGGCCCCUGCAGGAGGGGCAGGGGUUGGUUCUGUCUCCAUUGUGCUGUGUCUUGGGCAACCAGAGCACAGGUUGGUGCUGUGCUGCCAAGAGUAAAGGUCCUAGGGUGGCCUUGCACAUUUUGCAUGAUGGGCCCCACUGCCCUCUAGGUGGACAAUGCUUAUUGGCUGUGGACCUUCCAAGGUCGUCUUCUCCAGAAGAACAACAAGGACCGCUUCUGCCAGCUGCUCUGGAGACCAAGGCCCCCAACACUCCUCAGUCAGGAUCAGAUAAAGGUCUGUGUUCCCUGCCUAGUUGGGGUAAGGGAACGGUUGUCCAUCUAUGACUGCACAGGGCAGUCAGUGGGGAGUGGAGGAGGUAGGCAUGGAGAGGGCUCUGAGAUGAGGACCAAUGAGACCUGACCUGAAGCUGUGUCAGGUAAGGCAGUGCUUAUAAUCCCAGGAGGCUGAGGCAGGAGGAUGGCGAGUUCUUUUCAGACUCUGGGGUCACUACAAGAUGACCUUAUCAUGUCUUCCUUCCCUUCCCCCUCCCCACUUCUUCAGAAAACCCAUGACAGUCAGUCUAAGCCAGACAGGCUGUGCACAAGUUCCAGUGGGAUUGGGAGAGCUCAGAAGGGGUUAUGUAAUGGGAUAGGCUUGUGGUGCUAGGUCAGAGCCGGGAGUGACUCAGCCUAGGAAUCCUCUCCAUGAGUGAUCUGGGCAUGCUGGUGCCCUGGGGCUGGUCCUGAAGGCUGUCGUCACUGCACAUGGCAUCUUUGUGACAGCAGUUGUGGAUAUUGCUUUGAAGGCUCAAUCCUGAGAGACUUGUCUUGGUUUCAGCAAAUUAAAAAGGAUCUGAAGAAAUACUCUAAGAUCUUUGAGCAGAAGGAUCGCUUGAGCCAGUCCAAAGCUUCAAAG
rnacentral:lncRNA from 1 species